GUGCUCACUUCGGCAGCACAUUCACUGAAACUGAAACGAUACAGAGAUUAGCUAGGCCCCUAUGCAAGGAUGACAUACAAAUUCAUGAAGUGUUCCAUAUUUUU
rnacentral:snRNA from 1 species